UCCCUAUAUAGAACACUACUAUAGACCAGAGCCUUAUUCUCUAUAUAGUACACUACUGUUGAUCAGGGCCCUAUUCCCUAUAUAGUGCACUAAUUUUGAUCAGAGGCCUAUGAGGAAUAGGGGGCCAAUUUGGGACGCAGACUGUAUGUGAAACUGGUCAGUUUUUAAAUGUUUCUGAGGUUCUUAUUGGUUGUCUGAUUCUCUGACCAUGUCUGUGGUUGUUAUGGUUACCGUCUGGUCCAGUUCAUACAGACUGUUUUGGUUGUCUGAUUCUUUGUUCUGUUUAUCUCUCUCUCUUUUUGUGGUUUAACUGUCUGUGGUCAGGUUCUGGCCAAUCAGAUGGCUCUGUGGUCAGGUUCUGGCCAAUCAGAUGGCUCUGUGGUCAGGUUCUGGCCAAUCAGAUGGCUCCGUGGUGGUGUUGUGACUACUGCUGUCUAACUUCUCCUGGAGGACCCCUGGUGUUUCUGAUAGUUUAAUGUCUGUCCAGCCCGGGAUUCAAUCAAAGGCGCAUUGUGGAUUAUGAGCAAACCACACUAGACUGUUCAAUCUAAUGUUCAGCUGACAUCCGCAGCGUUUACCAUGACAACCAUCUCCACGACAACCAGAGGAAUGAGCUGGUUAACGGUGCAUCGUUGACGGGUGUCGUGGACAGUGCACCUUUGGUUGAAUCCCAGCCGUCUCACUCAGAUCUGGGACACCAAAUCAUGUAUCAAUUACAUGUCCCAAAAUGGCACCCUAUUCCCUAAUAUAGUGCACUAGAUUUGACCAGACUGGCACCCUAUUCCCCAUAUAGUCCCCUACCUUUGACCAGAGGCCCACGGGGGUAGCGGGGAGGCCCACGGGGGUAGCGGGAGGCCCACGGGGGUAGCGGGAGGCCCACGGGGGUAGCGGGAGGCCCACGGGGGUAGCGGGAGGCCCACGGGGGUAGCGGGAGGCCCACGGGGGUAGCGGGAGGCCCACGGGGGUAGCGGGAGGCCCACGGGGGUAGCGGGAGGCCCACGGGGGUAGCGGGAGGCCCACGGGGGUAGCGGGAGGCCCACGGGGGUAGCGGGAGGCCCACGGGGGUAGCGGGAGGCCCACGGGGUAGCGGGAGGCCCACGGGGUAGCGGGAGGCCCACAGGGGGCAGUGUCUGUCAGCCCUCCAGGUCUCGUUUGACCUCACAGGGGAACAGGACCGUGUCUGUCAGCCCUCCAGGUCUAGUUUGACCUCGCAGGGGAACAGGACCGUGUCUGUCAGCCCUCCAGGUCUAGUUUGACCUCACAGGGGAACAGGACAGUGUCUGUCAGCCCUCCAGGUCUAGUUUGACCUCACAGGGGAACAGGACAGUGUCUGUCAGCCCUCCAGGUCUAGUUUGACCUCACAGGGGAACAGGACAGUGUCUGUCAGCCCUCCAGGUCUAGUUUGACCUCACAGGGGAACAGGACAGUGUCUGUCAGCCCUCCAGGUCUAGUUUGACCUCACAGGGGAACAGGACAGUGUCUGUCAGCCCUCCAGGUCUAGUUUGACCUCACAGGGGAACAGGACAGUGUCUGUCAGCCCUCCAGGUCUAGUUUGACCUCACAGGGGAACAGGACAGUGUCUGUCAGCCCUCCAGGUCUAGUUUGACCUCACAGGGGAACGGGACAGUGUCUGUCAGCCCUCCAGGUCUAGUUUGACCUCACAGGGGAACGGGACAGUGUCUGUCAGCCCUCCAGGUCUAGUUUGACCUCACAGGGGAACAGGACAGUGUCUGUCAGCCCUCCAGGUCUAGUUUGACCUCACAGGGGAACAGGACAGUGUCUGUCAGCCCUCCAGGUCUAGUUUGACCUCACAUCUCCCUGGUUAAAUGGAACUGGACUCGUCACUCGCUGCUUCUCAAUGUUUUAUGGAGUGUCUGUAUGUUAUUAUAUGAUCACAUUUUAAAACUACUUAUGUGUUGACCUCUAAAUACCCUGUGAACUAUUUUGAUUGAGAAAAAAUAAAAAUAAUAAAUAGAUUUAUGUCAAA